GGGGGAUAUUGCACAAUGGGGGAAACCCUGAUGCAGCGACGCCGCGUGGAGGAAGAAGGUUUUCGGAUUGUAAACUCCUGUCGUUAGGGACGAUAAUGACGGUACCUAACAAGAAAGCACCGGCUAACUACGUGCCAGCAGCCGCGGUAAAACGUAGGGUGCAAGCGUUGUCCGGAAUUACUGGGUGUAAAGGGAGCGCAGGCGGACCGGCAAGUUGGAAGUGAAAACUAUGGGCUCAACCCAUAAAUUGCUUUCAAAACUGCUGGCCUUGAGUAGUGCAGAGGUAGGUGGAAUUCCCGGUGUAGCGGUGGAAUGCGUAGAUAUCGGGAGGAACACCAGUGGCGAAGGCGACCUACUGGGCACCAACUGACGCUGAGGCUCGAAAGCAUGGGUAGCAAAC
rnacentral:rRNA from 1 species